UGAGUACGAGAUGCUACGGCAUCGAAGCAGUCUAUGUCAUACUUCCAAGAAAAGCUUGCACUGUCAUAAACAAAGAAUGCCUGUACCAUAACCGACACAGGUGGGUAGGUAGAGUAUACUAAGGGGCGCGAGAUAACUCUCUCUAAGGAACUCGGCAAAAUGACUCCGUAACUUCGGGAGAAGGAGUGCCUUAUUUCUAAGGUUGCAAUAACAAGAUCCAAGCAACUGUUUACCAAAAACACAGGUCUCCGCUAAGUCGUAAGACGAUGUAUGGGGGCUGACGCCUGCCCAGUGCCAGAAGGUUAAAGAAGUUGGUUAGCAUUAGCGAAGCUGAUAACUGAAGCCCUGGUGAACGGCGGCCGUAACAAUAACGGUCCUAAGGUAGCGAAAUUCCUUGUCGGGUAAGUUCCGACCCGCACGAAAGGCGUAAUGAUUUGGAUACUGUCUCGGAGAGGGGCUCGGUGAAAUAGACUUGUCUGUGAAGAUGCGGACUACCUGCACCUGGACAGAAAGACCCUAUGAAGCUUUACUGUAACUUGAGAUUGAAAUUGGACUUUAUUUGCGCAGUAUAGGUGGGAGGCGUUGAGAAUAAUCUUGCGGGAUUGUUGGAGCCAUCAGUGAGAUACCACUCUUGUAAUGUUAGAUUUCUAACUUUGUAUCAUUAUCUGGUCAAAGAGCAGUUUCAGGCGGGCAGUUUGACUGGGGCGGUCGCCUCCCAAAGGGUAACGGAGGCGCACAAAGGUUUCCUCUGAACGGGUAGAAAUCGUAUCUAGAGUGUAAAGGCAUAAGGAAGCUUGACUGUGAGACCUACAAGUCGAGCAGGGACGAAAGUCGGUCUUAGUGAUCUGACGGUGCUGAGUGGAAAGGCCGUCACUCAACGGAUAAAAGUUACUCUAAGGAUAACAGGCUGAUCUCCCCCAAGAGUUCACAUCGACGGGGAGGUUUGGCACCUCGAUGUCGGCUCAUCGCAUUCUGGGGCGGUAGUCCGUCCCAAGGGUUGGGCUGUUCGCCCAUGAAAGCGGUACGCGAGCUGGGUUCAGAACGUCGUGAGACAGUUCGGUCCAUAUCCGGUGUAGGCGUUAGAAUAUUGAGAGGAGCCUUCUCUAGUACGAGAGGACCGAGAAGGACAUACCUCUGGUGUACCAGUUAUCGUGCCAACGGUAAACGCUGGGUAGCUAUGUAUGGAGUGGAUAACCGCUGAAAGCAUCUAAGUGGGAAGCCCACCUCAAGAUAAGUAUUCUCAUC
rnacentral:rRNA from 1 species